rnacentral:lncRNA from 1 species
GGGUUAAUGAUAAUGCUACUCCUUGCCUGCCAAAUACCAAAUUCCAGAUGGACUGAGGAAGGCACAACUGUCCAUAAGAUUCACCGCGCCCAUACGUCAUUUGAGCACUUCAGUUCUGUCCUACCCUAGACAACUUCCUUGUGCGUCCAUGGCCUGGGUAAGAGUGGGCAGGGCUGAAAGUAAGAAGAUGCCAUGGCAGAAAGGCAGACAGACUCAAGAGCAGAGAAUUACACUUGAUCUUAGCCAAAAGGCCGAGAAGUGAUGAGACAGCAGAGAAUUAAAUGGUGAUGUUUUUCUCCUCUCUAGCAUCUGUGUCUGCAGCCAUUGUACCUCAGCCUCUUGGGGCCAAGCAGGGCCCAUAUGUGUGCUUUGUGUGAAACAGCUCCCUGAAGCAGUUUUUGAAGCAGCAUGGGAGUGGAGGAGUCAUGAAGGCUGGUUCUACCCCAUGGUAUCACAGUGGUCAGGGUUUGGGGAGGGACAGUGGAAUACUUCUAGAAAAUCUUUUCAGUCCAGGUCUCUUGCUGCACAGCAGAGGGAAAACCAGAAUGAAUACUCCCCGGAAAGCCGGUCUGAGAAAAGGCACCCCAGAAGGGGGCUCGUUCAGGUGUUGCAUUUUCUUCUCUGGAGUUUGUCCACCAAAUACAUCACUUCACUCUGGUAAGAAAUGAAUGAAGAUAUGUAAGACGCAAAGAUUUUUGUUUGUUUUAGUGCAAUUCCUAAAAUAACCAAAAUUCUGAAGUAAAUUUUUCUUAAUCGUCGGAUUAAAAACUGCUUUUAAGAACUAUUGGAAUUCGAUACAUGGUCACAUCAUAUCUAUAAAGUGUACAAUUUAAGUUUUAUUCUGUGUACACAUCUGGGAAACCCUAUCGGUUCAAUCAAGAAAAUGAAAUGUCCAACCCCAAAAUUGUCUUGUGCCUAUUUGUCAUCACUUCCUCUAAUCCCUCUCUGCACCUCUCUAUCUCUGGACAACUGUCGAUCUGUGUUCUGUCACAAGAUUAGUUAGAAUUUGUAAAACUGUAUGAAAACAGGAUUCUAGAGUAUGCACAGUUUUUUUUUUUUUUUUGGUUUUGCUACUUCCUCUUAAAAUAAUUUUGAGAUUCACCCACAUUGCUCUGUAUUCAGUAACCAACUCCUUUUUGUGGAGAAGUAGUUCAUUGUAAGACUAUAUCAGCACUUCUCCAUUUAUUUUUAUUGCAUAUUUGAAUUAUUUCUAGGUUUUGGCAGUUAUAAGUAGAAGCAGUAUCAACAGAUGUUUUCAUUUCUCCUGAGGGAAUACCUGCAAGUGUAAUUGCUGGAUUGUAUGUCACUUGUCUGUUUCACCUUUUAAGAAGCUGCCAAAAUAUUUUAGAAAGUGUUUCUUUCAUUAUUCGUUCCAGUGUUUAAGAGUUGCACUUUCUUCAAAAUCUUGCUAGGUAUGAUGAAGCUUUUAAAAUAUUCGUCAUUUUAACAAGUGCGUGCUAUUUUCUCAGUUUAAAUUCACAUUUCCUUAAUUACUAAUCUUGAGUAUUCUUUCACCUGCAUGUUUGUGAUACUGUAUUUACUGUGGUGUAUUAAGUAUUUAAAUAUUUGGUCCAGUAUUUAGUUUUUUAGAUGGUCUAUGUAGAAAUCCUUUAUCAGAUAUAGAACUUGGAAAUGCCUUUUUUUUUUUUUUUUUUUUUAAUGGUCUGUAUCUUGUUUUUCAUUCUUAUAGAAGUGUUCUUUGGAGAACAGGAGUUGUUAAUUUUCAUGAAGUGCAAUUUAUAAAUAUCGCUGAUUGUGUUUGCGUGAUUUUUUUUAAUUUUUAUUUUUUUACUUAUGGAUCACAGUUGGCUGCUUGUAUCCCUAGGGAUUUUGUAAUUGGAUGCCUUUAUGGAUUUUACCUUCUUGAGUGCUAGAUACUUUUAUAUUUCUAUAAAUAUUUUGGUGCUCUGUGUAGAGAUGCAGUUAGGUUAUUUGGAAGCAGUUGACUCUUUGGGGUCUCCUAAAUUUUGUUAGGUAAGGCUAGGACAGUGCCUUAUUUAGAGACAAUGUUAACCUGUUCUGAGGUAAAACUGAAUCCUGUAUAUGUGCCUCUUGAAUGGAAAGGUUUUCCACACUGACAAGGACAUUUUUACUUUAAUGCUUUAAGGUUCUUAAAGGUGUUAGGCACCCAGGUUCUUCCUGGGUGUUAGGCAAUUUCUUCACAUGUGUGGGUGAUGAUGCUCUGUAGAUUUGUAGACUAUUCUCUCUUUGCAACUCUCCCCUUUUUGCUAGGUAACCAAAUUAAUUCUACCUGCCUUGGUGUCUCCAGACUUCCAGAUCCCUGUGCUUAACUGGGGGAGAUGACUGGGCUCUGGCUCUUCUCUCUACUGUGGUGAAACCAUGGGACUAUGAUCUGCUCUCUGGGCAGUAAACUGGGACGGUAAAGGGGAUUAUUUCUUUUAUUUACCAUUUCUCUGAUACCUUAAGCCUUGAACUCUAUUGUUUAGGAUUUCCUUCCCUCCCCUCCCGCCCCAGGCAAAGGAGGACUUUCAUAACCUUUACCCUUCUUCCAAAAGUGAAUGAACUCUUGAAUUUCUAACACUAAAAAUAAGAGGAAUUCGAGUCUUGUAAAUAAUACAUAUGAUUUCAUAGUUUAAUUAUGUACUAUCUUGUUUAAUUGACUUACAACUAACAAAGAUAAGCAAUGAUGGUAGGUCUUUUACAUUAAAAACAAAAACAAAUAGCUGUUGUAAUCUCACUGAAGUAUUAGGUGUUUUGAUCUUAUUCACAAGAUAUACAAGGCUCUGAAAAAAAUAUAUAUAGGAAAAAGUAACAAAACUAUUAUACUUCGUGCAUUUUCAGGAAUAUAAUUUUUCAUAAAUCAGACUUGGAAGAAAUGGUAUUAGAGGGAUUGCAGCUGUUGGGGAAAACUAGAGAAAACAAAUCAUACUUAGCUUAACACAGAGGAAUAGAAAAUUCAAUAUUACUUUUUAUGCUAACUUUUCCUGUGGCAUAUGAGCAUAAAUCCCUCCAGCUCAGGGCUUCCUGGUGGUAACACAUAUAGUAUGUGUGCUACAAAUGUGUGAUGGAUAUGUUUGGGAUUUUGAUCUCUGUAAUGCUUGAGAUAGUCUUACGGAGUCUAAAGAGACUAAAAUUGAUACAACUUCUCUAGCCAUAAUCAGCCUCAACUUACCAGAUUUUGUCUUAUAAACAUUAUCUUUCACUGUGUGUGCCAUGUUGUGGAAAAGGCAGGACCCACGACUCCAGCAGUUAAAUGUUUUCCUAUUUAUCUUCUAGAAUGCUGUGCACAGUUGAUACAUGUCUUGCUUUUCUUCAAGGGGUGACUGAUUUGAUUAGACAAGGAAUUGACCCAGCGGAAAAUAGAAGAAUGAGCUUUCUGUCACUGUCCUUACUUCUAAACUCAAUUGCUUUAGGGAGAUUUUAUUGUUAAAAGGAAACUUUCACGUGUCUCUCUUGACUAAUAGACUUCUAUACUUGUAGAAGGAAAAAAAUAGAAUGUGAAUCAGUACUGUAUGUACUUUAAAAAGAAAACAAAACUCCUCUUCUAAAUUUUCCUGAAAAUAAUUUAAUUAUUUUAGAAUGAAUUGGAUGGUAUGUACAAAUGUUUAAGUAGUUUACUAUGUUACCUUAAGAGAGAAAACUGGAACAUAGGUUUUGCCAUAGUGAUGAUAAUACCUACCUAUACCUUCUCGUCUUGACUAUAUAAGGAUUCCAUAAUCUGGAAUUCACUGUACCUGUUUUCACACAAACUUUGAUAUCACAUGAGUGACAAAAAUGGAAAAAUACAGGAAGGGGAUUUUUUAUUUAGUAGAGGGAGAAGUCAGCUGAGUAGGCAAUUUUACAUCUUCUGGCCUUUUUUGUUUACAGUGACCGUAUAGGAGCCAUGUAACAGUAUACCUUUUGCUUUCAUGAUUGGUUUUUCAACUUUAUUGAGGUAUAGAUGGAAUAUGAUAGACUAUAGACUACAUAUGUUCAAAAUAAAUAAUUUGGUGUUUGUGUAUAUACAUACAUAUAUAUUUAUAUGUACUCAGUAAUCCAUCACUAUUAUGAAAAUAAUGACUUUAUCUGUUACUACAAAGUUUACUUGUGCUUCUUUGUAACCCCUGAACCACUGAACUUGCUUAAGACCCUUAGGGAUCAGCUUUUUUGCCAUUUUAGAUUAGUUUAUAUUUUCCAUAAUUUGAUAUAAGUGUAAUCCAACAGUAUGUACCCCCUUCUAUCUGCCUUUUCCUUCAGCAUUAUUAUUUCAAUUUAGCAAUGAUGCUGCAUGUACCAUUAGUUCAUUUAUUACUGAGUCUUAGAUCCUUUUCUGGACAUUUUGUAAUUCAUUGUUCACUUGUUGAUGGACAUCUGGGUUGUUUCCAGUUUGGGGCUAUUACAAAUAAGACUGUGAUUAACAUUUGUGUUACAAGUCUUUAUAAGAACACGCAUUUUGAUUUAUUUAAAAAAAUUCUUUUUUUAAAAUUUAUCUUAGAACUAUAUUGCUAGGAGUGGAAUGGCUGGUUAUACGCCAGGUGUAUGUUUAACUUUUUGGAAAAAAAAAUCCAAACUAUUUGGCAAAACUAGUUGUGCCAUUUUACAUUUGCAGUAAUAGUGUUUGAGUGUUUAAUUUGCUCCAUAUUUUUUCCAUCCUACAUUGUCUUCCUAAUAACACACAUUCUAAAAGGUGUUUGCUGGUACCUCAUUGUGAUUUAAUUUGCAUCUCAGCAAUAAAUAAU